rnacentral:rRNA from 1 species
CAUAUCAAUAAGCGGAGGAAAAGAAACUAACUAGGAUUCCCUUAGUAACGGCGAGUGAACCGGGAUGAGCUCAAAUUUAAAAUCUGGCGUCUUUCAGGCGUCCGAGUUGUAAUCUAUAGAGGCGUUUUCCGCGCCGGACCGCGUCCAAGUCUCUUGGAAUAGAGUAUCAAAGAGGGUGACAAUCCCGUACUUGACGCGACAACCGGUGCUCUGUGAUACGUUCUCAAUGAGUCGAGUUGUUUGGGAAUGCAGCUCUAAAUGGGUGGUAAAUUCCAUCUAAGGCUAAAUAUUGGCGAGAGACCGAUAGCGAACAAGUACCGUGAGGGAAAGAUGAAAAGCACUUUGGAAAGAGAGUUAAACAGCACGUGAAAUUGUUAAAAGGGAAACGAUUGAAGUCAGUCGUGUGAAAGGUAUUCAGCCGUCUCUGGCGGUGUAUUUGCCUUUCACGGGUCAACAUCAGUUUGAUCCGGUAGAAAAAGGCGGGAGGAAGGUGGCACCCUCGGGUGUGUUAUAGCCUCCUGUCAUAUGUGCCGGACCAGACUGAGGAACGCAGCUUGCCGCAAGGCCGGGGUUCGCCCACGUACAAGCUUAGGAUGUUGACAUAAUGGCUUUAAACGACCCGUCUUGAAACACGG